GGGUCUUUUGAAUCAGGUGUGCAUUGUUGUCACUAUGGGGGAGCCAGCUCUGAAAUACAGGUGAUUCCCCGCAGCAGUGGAUGACCACUCAUGAAUGAGACCCCUCUAAGGAAUUGGGCUCUCCCUCCAUUUUUCCUUCCCUGAGCUGUAGCUGAGGUACAAUCUCAGCAAGGAAAUUAAAGCCCCUAGAGAAGAGGAUUUUAUGGUUUUAAUCAUCUCAGUCCCUGCCAUGGGGUUCAUGAGCACCCAAGCUCCGGCGUGAAGUCUGUCGGAGUGAUGAUCGCAGCAUCAGACCGUGCCUACAGCCAGCCUAGAGAACAGAUGAAAUCCCAGAACUUGUCCCCAGCCUACCACUCUGAAAUUAAUGCUUCCAAUUCCCAGGGCCGUAAGUUUCAUGGGAAUCAGUCAUUCAGAGAAUGUUCCAGCUAUCUGAAAUACAUUGUUUGCUUUA